rnacentral:rRNA from 1 species
GAUGAACGCUGGCGGCGUGCCUAAUACAUGCAAGUCGAGCGAACAGACGAGGAGCUUGCUCCUCUGACGUUAGCGGCGGACGGGUGAGUAACACGUGGAUAACCUACCUAUAAGACUGGGAUAACUUCGGGAAACCGGAGCUAAUACCGGAUAACAUGUUGAACCGCAUGGUUCAACAGUGAAAGACGGUCUUGCUGUCACUUAUAGAUGGAUCCGCGCCGCAUUAGCUAGUUGGUAAGGUAACGGCUUACCAAGGCAACGAUGCGUAGCCGACCUGAGAGGGUGAUCGGCCACACUGGAACUGAGACACGGUCCAGACUCCUACGGGAGGCAGCAGUAGGGAAUCUUCCGCAAUGGGCGAAAGCCUGACGGAGCAAGGCCGCGUGAGUGAUGAAGGUCUUCGGAUCGUAAAACUCUGUUAUUAGGGAAGAACAAAUGUGUAAGUAACUAUGCACGUCUUGACGGUACCUAAUCAGAAAGCCACGGCUAACUACGUG